UUUCUCUUUCCUGAAAAAGAGAAAAAUACAUAAAGAUAAUUCAUACGCUUUUUUUUUUUACAUAUCUAUAAAAA
rnacentral:ribozyme from 17 species